CAGUCGCCGCGGGAAUACGAAGGGUGCAAGCGUUAAUCGGAAUUACUGGGCGUAAAGCGUGCGUAGGCGGUUUGUUAAGUCUGUUGUGAAAUCCCCGGGCUCAACCUGGGAAUGGCAAUGGAUACUGGCAAGCUAGAGUGCGUCAGAGGAUGGAGGAAUUCCCGGUGUAGCGGUGAAAUGCGUAGAGAUCGGGAGGAACAUCAGUGGCGAAGGCGGCCAUCUGGGACAACACUGACGCUGAGGCACGAAAGCGUGGGGAGCAAACAGGAUUAGAGACCCCUGUAGUCCCUGUCUCUUAUAA
rnacentral:rRNA from 1 species